rnacentral:lncRNA from 1 species
UAUUGCUAUGCAUUAUGUAUAAUUCCAGAAGCCUGAUUUAAGAACCAUUAUACUAAAAGCUGCCCAAAUAGCAUACUAAUAACCAUCAGUUGUUACAGAAGAGGAUUUCAUCACUAAAAUGUAAUGAAAUGUAUAGCAGUAGUGAAGUCUUAUAAAAGGAGAAGACAUACCAUAUUCAUGGUGAUACAAUAGAUGGCACCUAUAGAAUGAUAAUAAACUUGUUUCAUAUCCAUAACCUUUUUCUUAAGUCAAAC